GUAGGGAAUAUUGGACAAUGGGCGAAAGCCUGAUCCAGCCAUGCCGCGUGAUAGAUGAAGGCCCUCUGGGUUGUAAAUAUCUUUUAUCUGGGAAGAAACUCCUCUAUUCUUAGAGGCCUGACGGUACCAGAGGAAUAAGCACCGGCUAACUCCGUGCCAGCAGCCGCGGUAAUACGGAGGGUGCAAGCGUUAUCCGGAUUCACUGGGUUUAAAGGGUGCGUAGGCGGGUUGAUAAGUCAGUGGUGAAAGCUCCGGGCUUAACUUGGAAACUGCCAUUGAUACUGUCAAUCUUGAAUGUCGUAGAGGUAAGCGGAAUGUUGCAUGUAGCGGUGAAAUGCUUAGAUAUGUUACAGAACACCAAUUGCGAAGGCAGCUUACUAUGCGAUAAGUGACGCUGAGGCACGAAAGCGUGGGGAGCAAACAGGAUUAGAAACCCCGGUAGUCC
rnacentral:rRNA from 1 species